rnacentral:rRNA from 1 species
UGGUAGUNCACGCCGUAAACGAUGAGUGCUAGGUGUUAGGCCCUUUCCGGGGCUUAGUGCCGCAGCUAACGCAUUAAGCACUCCGCCUGGNGAGUACGACCGCAAGGUUGAAACUCAAAGGAAUUGACGGGGGCCCGCACAAGCGGUGGAGCAUGUGGUUUAAUUCGAAGCGACGCGAAGAACCUUACCAGGUCUUGACAUCCCUCUGAUCGCUCUAGAGAUAGAGUUUUCCUUCGGGACAGAGGUGACAGGUGGUGCAUGGUUGUCGUCAGCUCGUGUCGUGAGAUGUUGGGUUAAGUCCCGCAACGAGCGCAACCCCUAUUGUUAGUUGCCAUCAUUCAGUUGGGCACUCUAGCGAGACUGCCGGUAAUAAACCGGAGGAAGGUGGGGAUGACGUCAAAUCAUCAUGCCCCUUAUGACCUGGGCUACACACGUGCUACAAUGGCUGGUACAACGAGUCGCAAGCCGGUGACGGCAAGCUAAUCUCUGAAAGCCAGUCUCAGUUCGGAUUGUAGGCUGCAACUCGCCUACAUGAAGUCGGAAUCGCUAGUAAUCGCGGAUCAGCACGCCGCGGUGAAUACGUUCCCGGGCCUUGUACACACCGCCCGUCACACCACGAGAGUUNGUAACACC